AAUAGAACCGGGUAGUCCACCCCGUAAACGUUGGGAACUAGUUGUGGGGACCAUUCCACGGUUUCCGUGACGCAGCUAACGCAUUAAGUUCCCCGCCUGGGGAGUACGGCCGCAAGGCUAAAACUCAAAGGAAUUGACGGGGACCCGCACAAGCGGCGGAGCAUGCGGAUUAAUUCGAUGCAACGCGAAGAACCUUACCAAGGCUUGACAUAUACGAGAACGGGCCAGAAAUGGUCAACUCUUUGGACACUCGUAAACAGGUGGUGCAUGGUUGUCGUCAGCUCGUGUCGUGAGAUGUUGGGUUAAGUCCCGCAACGAGCGCAACCCUCGUUCUAUGUUGCCAGCACGUAAUGGUGGGAACUCAUGGGAUACUGCCGGGGUCAACUCGGAGGAAGGUGGGGAUGACGUCAAAUCAUCAUGCCCCUUAUGUCUUGGGCUACACGCAUGCUACAAUGGCCGGUACAAAGGGCUGCAAUACCGUAAGGUGGAGCGAAUCCCAAAAGCCGGUCCCAGUUCGGAUUGAGGUCUGCAACUCGACCUCAUGAAGUCGG
rnacentral:rRNA from 1 species